CUCAGAGCCAGUCACAGCAACAGCAUCACCUGCAUUGUCUGCAUCUGAAAUAAACACAACGUCAGGUGUACAUUAAGGAAUCUCAUUAAGAACAUCACAGGAAAAAAGAUGACUAAUGGUGACCUUGAGGCAGAAGAGAAUCCUCCCAACCACAGAUCAUCAAACGAUCAGAACAUGUCUAUACUGUAUAUCACCAUAGCAACAUUACUUGCCAUUAUAGUUCUCGUGGGAUUAUCAGUCGCCAUUAUACACAAGCUAUGGACAAGAAAAUUGCCAAGGCACAAUACAGCUCAGCAAAACGACAGCAAUGAAUCUCUAAUGCAGCGACAAGUGACUGAAGUUGGGGGUUAUUCAAGAGUUCCCAUGAGAGACCCACCUCCGUAUUCUUCACAAGAGGUCCACAUGGCGGAUGAGGAGACGCAGGGGCAUGGCACAGCCUUGGACAAAGGACUUCACAGAUCAAACCACAGGUGGCAACCAGGCGGACGGUGUCCCUCCUCCCUCCCUGGAAGGAGGCGGAGGUCGCUGUCCAUGAAGGCGGGAUACUGAUGAAACUGCCCCAAAGGAGAAAACUACAUCAGUGGAUCAACAGGAUUCAAACACAGCUGAGACUUUGGAGGAAGUCAAACAGGUACCUAGAUGCUGGGAGAGGAUCUUUCCCAACGCUUGAGUCCACCGAACAGGCCAGCUCAGUCAUGUCUGUGACAUGCAAGGAUGCUGAUCACACGUCCAUCAAGGAGAGAUACAUGGCGCCAAGCAGGAAUG
rnacentral:misc_RNA from 1 species